rnacentral:sRNA from 1 species
GCUGGGCAUGGUGACACACGCCUGUAAUCCCAGCAACUUGGGAGGCUGAGGCAGGCAGAUCAUAAAUUCAAGACCAGCCUCAGCAAUGUAGUGAGACCCUGUCUCAA